UUUGAAGAGAGAGUUCAACAGUACGUGAAACUGYUCAGAGGUAAACGGAUGGGCCCUCGAAAUCCUGUGGCGGGAGGAUUCAGUUGGAUGAUGCGGGUGCAGAUGCGUGCUGGCUUUGAAUCAUGAUCUCCUUUUGAGGAAACGGCCGCGUGCACAGUGCCUGCGUCGGACGACGCAUUUGCUUCCCGUCCGAAGGACGCCGCAACCGGUUGGGAGACGGCCUUAAAGGUAGCCGCUGGCAGGUGACUGACGGUGCCGACGAUUCGUCGUUGGCUAAGUUUGCGUUAUAGCCUGGCAUGCCGGAUGGCUCGUAACCCGACCGAGGUAUCGCAAAGGCCCACCAUGGGCAUUAAUCGUCUCCUCUGUGAAAUGAUUUCGGACGCAUGAAUGGCGACAGCGGCUCGAAGGCCUUGAGGGAGCACGGCACCGAAACCGUGUCCCACGAUGGUCUCGCCCACGAUGGUUGCCCGCGACGUYCGUUGGAGGUU
rnacentral:rRNA from 1 species